rnacentral:snoRNA from 1 species
ACGCACGCAGAAAGUCGAGGUAGCCAGUAUAAGGCCAUUUCGUUGAUUACGUGUGCCAUAACAAUGCCAUAGGUAUCAUUCUUCGUCUUAUUAGGCGCGGAACAUCUAAAUAUGGCUACAAAA